UAGGCAGCAGUGGGGAAUCUUGCACAAUGGGGGAAACCCUGAUGCAGCGACGCCGCGUGAGCGAUGAAGCCCUUCGGGGUGUAAAGCUCUUUCGGCAGGGAAGAUAAUGACGGUACCUGCAGAAGCAGCUGCGGCUAACUACGUGCCAGCAGCCGCGGUAAUACGUAGGCAGCAAGCGUUGUUCGGAGUUACUGGGCGUAAAGGGUGUGUAGGUGGCGCGCUAAGUUCCGUGUGAAAUCUCCCGGCUCAACCGGGAGGGUGCGCGGAAAACUGGCGGGCUAGAGUACGGGAUGGGAGAGUAGAAUUCCUGGUGUAGCGGUGAAAUGCGUAGAUAUCAGGAGGAAUACCGGUGGUGUAGACGGCUCUCUGGACCGUAACUGACACUGAAACACGAAAGCGUGGGUAGCAAACAGGAUUAGAUACCCUGGUAGUCCACGCCCUAAACGAUGCAUAUUUGGUGUAGGUCAUUCAGUUGAUCUGUGCCGGAGCUAACGCGUUAAAUAUGCCGCCUGGGGAGUACAGUCGCAAGGCUGAAACUCAAAGGAAUUGACGGGGGCCCGCACAAGCGGUGGAGCAUGUGGUUCAAUUCGACGCAACGCGAAGAACCUUACCUGGGCUCGAACGGCUAGUCAACGAUCGUGGAAACACGGUUACUCCGCAAGGGGGUCUAGUCGAGGUGCUGCAUGGCUGUCGUCAGCUCGUGUCGUGAGAUGUUGGGUUAAGUCCCGCAACGAGCGCAACCCUUGUCCUGUGUUGCCAUGCCGAAAGGCGGAACUCGCAG
rnacentral:rRNA from 1 species